rnacentral:lncRNA from 1 species
UGCCUUCCAUCAUUUUUGACACACACGACAGAGUCUAGAAUCUGCUCUCGUCUUCCGUCUCUUCUAUUCCAACCGAUGGAGGAGUUUCAGUUCGCCUUCUUCAAACUUUCAACAAUACUCGUAGCUCUUUUCGUCUUCUUAUCUAUCUAUUAGAUUUCAGGCAUUAUUCGCUCAAUCCUUGCUCGCAUCUUCUUUGUUUUCUCUUUGUCUUCUUUUCUUUCUUUGCUACUUUUAGAUCUAUUUAACUGUUUUCAAUUUCAUGGAUAAAUUUCCUUGGAUUUUGUAUUUUCCAACCAGAUGAUGCGGAAUUACCAUUUUAAGGGCUAUUCUCCGUCCAAUUUCAUUGAUGUUGCCUUCUUCUUGCUGAUUCACCUCUAUCUCUUCUUCUUCAUAAGGUAUUGAAAUUUAUUGUUCUACUAACUUAAAACAAAAAGGAUAUUUAAUUUUACUCCUAAUUCAUGUUGUUCUUCCUUUUCUUUACAUUUUUUGUAUAUGUUAUAUUUCUAUGAAUUGUGAAUCGCGAGUAUGUUUUCAGGCUCUUCUUAACUGCCUCUGCGCACACCCCUCACUCUCCAUAGCCGAGGAAAAGAACAGUAAGAACUCAUGAUAACCUAAUUUUGAUAAAGCACUAAAAUUGGUGUAUGGGUUGAGAUUGAAAUAAAGUGAAUGAAUUAAGUCAAAUGGCUAUUGGGAAAAAUUUAUGCAUAUAAAUUUCUAUUGACAGAUUUUAUUCAUUAUUUCAUGUCUUAGGAAUGCUUAAUUAGGCUUAAGAUGAUUUGGGAACUUUUCUUAAAAGUUGUGUUCGAGCAACAUCUGAUUGUUUAAACUUAAAUUCAUUUAUCUGGCUACAAAUUUAUGGAAUAAGGAAGGUAUGUUAAAGGGCAUGUAAUGGGAUUGCUUUAUAUGAUGACUCAUUGUUGUUGAUGGGAUUUGAAAGUAGAGGAAUAUUUAAAAGUAGAGGAGUAGGAAGUAGAGCACCGAGGAUUGAUAAAGAUUGUAUGAAGUUGCAAGACACUAAUGGUCCAGAAAAAGGACGAGAAAAUAGCACAGAUAUCCAAAACUUUAAGAAGCAGACAAGAGGAAUAGAGAUGUAAGGACAUGUAUAAGAGGAUACCUAAGCCAAGGAAGUAGCUUAAUUUUUUUUAUUUUUUUAUUCCUUGUUUAUUGGCAUCCACUGAUACAAUGUGUGUUCAACUAUAAAUUAUAGUUGUUUGUCUUAUUGGAAAUUCUCAUUCACCCAUCUUUAAGCCUAAUUUGUCUUAUUUUCUACUGAUAUGUCCAUGUCUUAUUAUCAACAUAUGUUAUCUUCACCUAUACUUUCUUAUUAUUCUCUACUUUUAUGCAAUUUUAUUAGAAUAUUCUUUAAGUUUGUAUUUUAUUAAGAUAUUUUGUCCAAAAGUAUAAGUGACGGAUGGAUCUUUCCAUCUUGCAUACUUGACUGAUUGAUUCACUUGGUUACUUCUUGACAAUUGGUUUUUUCUCCUGUUAGUUCAGUACCGAAUGCAUAUGGAUUAUCAGGUUUGUAUAUUUAUCAGUGGAAAAUAUUAUUGCAUUCAUAAAUACACUUUGUUUUAACAUAAAUAUAGCAUGUAUUAAAACAUUCUUCCAUGAUGAUUACUUUCAACUUUUACAAAUUAAAACUAUUACAGGAACCUAGAAAAAGGAUUAUUUUCAAGGUCAUGAAAGAGUACUCAAAGGUCCUCCUCCAUCACUUCAAGUGGCAAAGGCUGUGAACUAUUUAACUUGGUACCCUUCUUUUUAUCCAUCAAGGCCUCUACAUGCUGCUCUUUACUUCCUUUUUGGGUGUAAGUUUUUUUUUCUUCAUAUUUAUGUUUAUCAUUGUGAUUAUUGAUGGUAAGGCCCAGCUCUCUUCGCAUUCAGUUUCUUAAAUCAAUUGGUGUGUUUGCUUUUGUGCUUUUAAUUUAUUUCAUCACUUUCAAGUUGUAGUUACAAGUUCAAAGAUCAAUUGAUUUUUUUUUAAUAUUCCGGAACAUAUGAUGACUAAUAGCUUGUUUGGCCAAGCUGCAAAAAUUAACUUAUUUUGAGAAGUGUUUUUUCUCAAAAGUGCUUUUUUCAAAAGUAUUUUUUGGUGAGAAUCAGUUUGUGUUUGGCUAAUUAAUUUGAAAAGCACUUCUGAGCAGCAAUUAGUAUUUGGCCAAGUUUUUAAAAACUGCUUCUAAGUGUAUUUUUCUUAAAAGUGCUUUUCAAAAAAGUGCUUUUGGAGAGAAGCUACUUUUUUCUGCUUCUCCAAAACUGCUUCUGCUUCUCCUCAAAAGCACUUUUCUUUCUUCAAAAAGCUUGGUCAAACACUUUAACUUUGAAAAAAAAGUACUUCUUUUAAAAAGAAAAGUGCUUUUGGCUUUGGAGAAGCUGGGCCAAACAGGCGAUAAGUCUAGCAUUCAAAAACUUUCCUCUUAGUUAGAAAAGGUAGUAUUGUAAUGCAUGAAAUAACUGGUGAUCGAGGAGGUUUUAUAUUCAUACUUUGAAAGUUCUAGCUUUGAUAUUGCCUAUUAUUUGUGGCUACAAGAGUUGCUUUAAUUUUUAUUUGGCUGAAUAGGUAGGGUGAUUUAUGAUACAAUAACAUGUCGUAGUAUGUACACUUUCGGAAAUAAGUACUUCGUAAAAUUGUACUAUUGUUAGGUAUUGAGUUUUAUUUGUGAAUUGAAGUAUAUAACUCUUUCGCACAGUGUAUUAAUACCAUGAGAUAUUUUUCCGUUCUAUGAGUUUAUCUACUAAGAUUAAGGACAAAUAAAAUAAGAAAUCAAGGAUAGUUUUGCAUAAUUAUUGUAGUGUAUUUGGUAACAGUGGCAUGGUAUAACUUUGUUUGUUUCCUUGGUUAUAAGUCUUUGCAAAUUAAAUAUAAUGUACUACAAAUGUAUUUAUAAAAAAGUGCAAUUUAUGCAAAAAGGGUGACAAGAACAAACCAAAAUUUUGAGGAAAAAAAAAAACAUAUUACCUAGGCUGAGUGCCAUUUCAAACAUAAGGUGCUCUUGCAGAUAGAAUAACACAAAAACGUCAUUAUUGUUACUUAGUUGAUCAACCAUUAGAAGUUUGUUGAUUGACCGUUGUUUGGGAAGUUCUAGAAUAAGUACCAUCUUGAGCUAACUAUCUUGAACACAAUUUUAUGUUUGAUUAUAUCUUCUUCAGUAUUUCGUGAACUCUAAAUUAUUUUCAUUGUUGACUCUGGUAGAAAUUGAUUAUUCAUCAAUGGGAGAUUUAAAAGAACCCCAUGACUGAGGUAUGUAUUAGGUCUUGAGCACUACCAGCUUACUCAAUAUAUUUAGAUAUAAAGAAUGUGUUUUAUUGUAAUUGUCUUGAAGAGUUUGUACUUGAAUUAAACUAUCUACUCAGUUUCCUUUCGAUAUUUGACUUAUGGAACUUCAGUUUGAUACUUUAUGUGAUAAAUACAGUCAAUAAAUCAAUCUAUCUAUGUCUUGAAACAGAGAAGAAACUUUUCAAUUAAGGUUUGUGAAGAAAAUGAGAAAAGCAAAGUGGAUCACUUUUUUAUAUUUCCCUUUUCGUGUAUUAGAAAAUUUUAUUAUUGACAAAGACCACACUAAGAUAAUGCUGAGAUGACAUAAAAGAAAUAUUAAUAUCAGUCCAUAUUUAUUCUUGCAGUGAUGACAAAAAAUAUAUCAAUGUAUUUACUUCAUAUCCUUAUAUGUUCUUUAUAACGAAUGAACUUUUUGUGUCACUUAAUAGUCAUAUGAUAUUAAUGUAUCUUUUUCUUUUAUAUGAGGGAAAGUAAAAUGCAUUGACCAACUUUUCUGGACAUCAUUUGCAUUUCACAUAAGUUGUGUCAGCAUUAGCUUAUCAAAGAAAACAUAAGGCUUAGCAUUUUUUCGAUUUUUUCGUUAAUUGUUAGGUGGUUAAAUCUUAAUGAUAGGAAGAUCCUAUACUGUUUUGAUAAAAUAUUAUAUUUGAUGUAUCUUUAGAUUGUAGUAACAGUGUCUUGCUAUAAAAGGCCAUAAUUUGACUCUUGAGUAUAGUAUUUUUCGAGUAGUUUAUUUGUGGUGAUCGCACUUAUCUCUUUAUGUCGUGAUAUUUUUCAAUUCUUGCUAUCAUUUAAUAUUUUCUAUCUCUAAAUAUUUGACUUCUUAUUCUCUACUUGGAAUAGGACAGGUUGUCUGAAGAACACAUAGUAGCAGAUGUAUGAAUGCAAUACACAAAAUAUUUGCCAUACUUUAUGUGGCUCUUAGUUGGACUAUGUUCUCUUUUGUUUAUAGUACAAACACGGAUAGCAACUGAUAUAUUUAGUUGAUCACGUAGCAUAAGAUAGUGGGUAGAAAACGAUGAAGAAAUAAGGCGUACUUGAGCUUGAGUUUGAUUUUGUAAGUAUAUUUAAAGGAAGUUGAAGAAAAGGAAAUAUUUAGCUCAAUUUUGAUAAAUCUAGGGAAG